rnacentral:rRNA from 1 species
UGAGACAACGUACAAACCUUAUCGAUAAACAAUUGGAGGGCAAGUCUGGUGCCAGCAGCCGCGGUAAUUCCAGCUCCAAUAGCGUAUAUUAACGUUGUUGCAGUUAAAAAGCUCGUAGUUGAAAUGAAGGGUAGUUGUGUAAUGAAUACAUUCGUGUAUUUUGUUAUUCUACUACCCUCCUUCUAAAUUCGAUAUAUGAGUAUUAAUUUACUUGUAUAUGGUUUUAGACCUUUACUGUGAGAAAAUUAGAGUGUUCAAAGCAGGCAUUUGCUUGAAUAUAUUAGCAUGGAAUAAUCAUGUAUGAUUUUCAUGAUGUAUUUGAUUGGUUUGGUUCAUGAGAAUAAGAUUAAAAGGGACAGUUGGGGGUAUUCAUAUUCAAUAGUCAGAGGUGAAAUUCUCGGAUUUAUGGAAGAUGAACAAGUGCGAAAGCAUUUACCAAGGAUGUUUUCAUUAAUCAAGAACGAAAGUUAGGGGAUCGAAGAGGAU